UUUAUGGAGAGUUUGAUCCUGGCUCAGGAUGAACGCUGGCGGCGUGCCUAAUACAUGCAAGUCGAGCGAACGGACGAGAAGCUUGCUUCUCUGAUGUUAGCGGCGGACGGGUGAGUAACACGUGGAUAACCUACCUAUAAGACUGGGAUAACUUCGGGAAACCGGAGCUAAUACCGGAUAAUAUUUUGAACCGCAUGGUUCAAAAGUGAAAGACGGUCUUGCUGUCACUUAUAGAUGGAUCCGCGCUGCAUUAGCUAGUUGGUAAGGUAACGGCUUACCAAGGCAACGAUGCAUAGCCGACCUGAGAGGGUGAUCGGCCACACUGGAACUGAGACACGGUCCAGACUCCUACGGAAGGCAGCAGUAGGGAAUCUUCCGCAAUGGGCGAAAGCCUGACGGAGCAACGCCGCGUGAGUGAUGAAGGUCUUCGGAUCGUAAAACUCUGUUAUUAGGGAAGAACAUAUGUGUAAGUAACUGUGCACAUCUUGACGGUACCUAAUCAGAAAGCCACGGCUAACUACGUGCCAGCAGCCGCGGUAAUACGUAGGUGGCAAGCGUUAUCCGGAAUUAUUGGGCGUAAAGCGCGCGUAGGCGGUUUUUUAAGUCUGAUGUGAAAGCCCACGGCUCAACCGUGGAGGGUCAUUGGAAACUGGAAAACUUGAGUGCAGAAGAGGAAAGUGGAAUUCCAUGUGUAGCGGUGAAAUGCGCAGAGAUAUGGAGGAACACCAGUGGCGAAGGCGACUUUCUGGUCUGUAACUGACGCUGAUGUGCGAAAGCGUGGGGAUCAAACAGGAUUAGAUACCCUGGUAGUCCACGCCGUAAACGAUGAGUGCUAAGUGUUAGGGGGUUUCCGCCCCUUAGUGCUGCAGCUAACGCAUUAAGCACUCCGCCUGGGGAGUACGACCGCAAGGUUGAAACUCAAAGGAAUUGACGGGGACCCGCACAAGCGGUGGAGCAUGUGGUUUAAUUCGAAGCAACGCGAAGAACCUUACCAAAUCUUGACAUCCUUUGACAACUCUAGAGAUAGAGCCUUCCCCUUCGGGGGACAAAGUGACAGGUGGUGCAUGGUUGUCGUCAGCUCGUGUCGUGAGAUGUUGGGUUAAGUCCCGCAACGAGCGCAACCCUUAAGCUUAGUUGCCAUCAUUAAGUUUGUCACUCUAAGUUGACUGCCGGUGACAAACCGGAGGAAGGUGGGGAUGACGUCAAAUCAUCAUGCCCCUUAUGAUUUGGGCUACACACGUGCUACAAUGGACAAUACAAAGGGCAGCGAAACCGCGAGGUCAAGCAAAUCCCAUAAAGUUGUUCUCAGUUCGGAUUGUAGUCUGCAACUCGACUACAUGAAGCUGGAAUCGCUAGUAAUCGUAGAUCAGCAUGCUACGGUGAAUACGUUCCCGGGUCUUGUACACACCGCCCGUCACACCACGAGAGUUUGUAACACCCGAAGCCGGUGGAGUAACCUUUUAGGAGCUAGCCGUCGAAGGUGGGACAAAUGAUUGGGGUGAAGUCGUAACAAGGUAGCCGUAUCGGAAGGUGCGGCUGGAUCACCUCCUUUCU
rnacentral:rRNA from 1 species